GCCUGCGCUAAGUGGAACCCGGCGGCUAGAACCUAGAAGAGCUACUUUCGCGUCUAACUUGAAGUCGACGAGUAAUACCACUUCCCUUGAUCACUCUUUCCAAUCUCCACCACAAAAUCAUGGAAUCUAUAUCUAUAAACUCUCGAGAAUACGAUGAUUUGGAUCCAGUAAACUAUGAUACACAUCGCCAGGAAGGAAUUAAUGCAGGAUAUAAAGAUGGUCUGGUUUCAAGAACAAAAGUAUGGAAACAAGUAGGCUUAUUAGUAGGGUUCGAAGUUAGAGCAGAAUUAUGGUUUUUUCAAGGUUGUUUAGAUGUUUGGAACUCAGCUCUUCAAAUUCAAUCUAAUUGUUUUUCAUCUAGGAUUCAAAACAAUAUUAAACAGCUGAAUGAAUUAAUCAAAACAUAUUCAGUUUUUGAUCCUGAGAAUUAGACUGUUCAAGCUAUUAUGGAUGCUUUUCUCCCUAAAGAAGGAAAGGAAAAAACAGAAAAACAUGUAAUGGAUGAUUUGAGAUUGAGAUUUAGACGUAUUGCAGCUUCAUUGGGUAUGAAAUUGGAGCGCAGAGAGGGCUUUGAUUUUUGACGAGGAGAUCAUCGCUUUCUCAUAUAUGUUCCCACCAGGGACUUUUUCAUCCAGCACGGAAGGUCAGGGAGGUGUAUUGGAAGAUUUAUAACUGGAGUGCAGGAUGCUCUUGUAGCUGUGUACCCUGUGUUGCAGGACGAGGAGAGCAACGUAUUUAGCAGGCCGGAAACCUGGAGUUGGUGAUUUUACAUUUUAUUUUAUUUUCUUGAUACGAGUGGAAGUGUGGAACUGCUGAUUCAAGCAGAUUUGCAGCAAUCUUUUGUGUACCAGACAUCUCUGUUUCAUUAGUAUAUACAUGCACUGUUUGAUGA